CCACCAUAGUCGCACCAGGUCGUCGCCAUCCACCAUCCCAAACGCCCUUCACUCUACUAACAGAAGGAGGCCAGGGUAGAGGCGAAUAACCACCCC